rnacentral:rRNA from 1 species
UACGUAGGGAGCGAGCGUUGUCCGGAAUUACUGGGCGUAAAGGGCGCGUAGGCGGCCGAUUAAGUUAGAUGUGAAAAACCGGGGCUCAACUCCGGGAUUGCAUUUAAGACUGGUCGGCUUGAGGGUGAGAGAGGAAAGUGGAAUUCCUAGUGUAGCGGUGAAAUGCGUAGAUAUUAGGAGGAACACCAGUGGCGAAGGCGACUUUCUGGCUCAUACCUGACGCUGAGGCGCGAAAGCGUGGGGAGCAAACAGG